CUUGAACGCUGGCGGCAUGCCUUACACAUGCAAGUCGAACGGCAGCAUGAUCUAGCUUGCUAGAUUGAUGGCGAGUGGCGAACGGGUGAGUAAUACAUCGGAACGUGCCCUGUAGUGGGGGAUAACUAGUCGAAAGAUUAGCUAAUACCGCAUACGACCUGAGGGUGAAAGUGGGGGACCGCAAGGCCUCAUGCUAUAGGAGCUGCCGAUGUCUGAUUAGCUAGUUGGUGAGGUAAAGGCUCACCAAGGCGACGAUCAGUAGCUGGUCUGAGAGGACGAUCAGCCACACUGGGACUGAGACACGGCCCAGACUCCUACGGGAGGCAGCAGUGGGGAAUUUUGGACAAUGGGCGAAAGCCUGAUCCAGCAAUGCCGCGUGUGUGAAGAAGGCCUUCGGGUUGUAAAGCACUUUUGUCCGGAAAGAAAUGGCUCUGGUUAAUACCUGGGGUAGAUGACGGUACCGGAAGAAUAAGGACCGGCUAACUACGUG
rnacentral:rRNA from 1 species